rnacentral:rRNA from 1 species
UACGUAGGGUGCAAGCGUUAAUCGGAAUUACUGGGCGUAAAGCGUGCGCAGGCGGUGAUGUAAGAUAGUUGUGAAAUCCCCGGGCUCAACCUGGGAACUGCAUCUGUGACUGCAUUGCUGGAGUGCGGCAGAGGGGGAUGGAAUUCCGCGUGUAGCAGUGAAAUGCGUAGAUAUGCGGAGGAACACCGAUGGCGAAGGCAAUCCCCUGGGCCUGCACUGACGCUCAUGCACGAAAGCGUGGGGAGCAAACAGGAUUGAG